GAAUGUCCCCUCCCUCCCGGAUGUGCUCCAGGCGUGGGUCUCCCCUUUAAAGGCAGCCAUUGAGGACGACAAAGGUGUCCUCAAGUCAGUGGUGGAGCAAAGGUGGAAGGGGAUCGAUUUUAAGGAUUUCAGAGAACACAAGGGUAGAGGCGUCAUUGCCACCAUGCCGUUCUCCAAAGGUGAAGUGAUCUGCGACUGUCACGGAAAGCUCAUCUCUGAAUCGGUGGGGAAGAAGAUGGAUGAAAUGCAGGAGGGAGUGAUGUGCUACCUCUUCUUCGUCAGGGGCAGGCUAGGCAACAAGCUGUGCAUCGAUUCCCAGAACUUCCCCUGCGAGUGCCGCCCUGGAUAGGACACCUUUGGAAGGCGCAUGAACGACUCGGGCAAGGCGUCCAAUGUGAAGCCUGUGGUGUUCCAGUUGAACUUCGCAGACGGACCCCAAGACACUGUCCUGUUCUUGGCCCAGAGAAACAUAGCCGGCAACGAAGAGCUGCGUUGGGACUAUGGUGUGAGACGGAUGUCCUUCAGAGAUGAGGGCAUGGACCUGGCAUGGCUGGAUGACUGAAAUGAUUUGCGUUGGUUCAUUGUGUUCCCUCAUUUGUUGUUGCCGGUUGUUGCUGUUCUUGUUGUUGUUUAGUGUCAUGUUUUGAAUAAA